AUCCCCCUCCUUAGCCGGAGCUCGAGCACGCAACAAAGGAGAUCCAUGGAGGUGGCGUCCUCUACCCAUCCCAAGCCCUACGUGUCGUCCCCACCUUGGUGUGCCAUCCCUCACCUCGACGGCGGCCAUGGUGGCUUCCCGUGGUGGAUCCAUGGAGCAUGACGCAAAUCCAGCGGCGUGGUGGUCUCUUACACCCAGCAGAUGAUGAUGGCUCAUCCCCCAUCCCAUCCAUGGAGGCGGCUCGAUCUGCAACCUCAACGACGCCCUCGACCUAUGUGCCUCCCCUCUUUCCCCUUAUCUCGUGGCUACAUUAGAUUUUGCGGUGUUACAACAAUAUAUUUGAGAUAUUUCAGCUGUUGUUCUUUUAGUGUUGUAAUAAUAUGUUUCUUAGUGUUUCAACUUCUUCAUCGCAAUGUUGCAAUAGUACUGCUUUUUUGAGAUGUUGAAGUAUGUUUUAGUUGUUCAAUCUCAUGUUGCAGUAGUUGUUCCAUAUUGCUGCAGUGUUCGAUGUUGUUGCAAUAACAUGUUGAUAAUGUGUUUGAACUAAUUCAAAUUAUUUAUUGUAGCAGUUUGUUCGGUGUUGUUGUAAUAACAUGUUCAUGGUGUUUUAACUGGUUCAACUUAUUUUGUUGCAAACAGUUUGUUUGGUAUUAUUAGAAUAACAUGUUCAUAGUGUUUCAGUCGUUUCAUUCUAUUAUUGCAGUGGCAAGCAGGGGAGGGAGGUUGGGGGUGAGCUGAGGGAGCGACCUGGUGG
rnacentral:lncRNA from 1 species